rnacentral:lncRNA from 1 species
UUGACAACUAUAUCAUGCAUAUUUACCCCCAUCCAUUUUCACCAGUCAACCCCAAUACUUGUUUAUAACAAGUUAUUAUAGACCAACAUUGAAAUGAAUUAUAUAAUGGAAAUAAGAAGUUACACUAUAGGAAGCCUGAUUAGGAAUUCCUCUCUGAGUUUUGUAAUCAAUCACCUCAAGUGCCAAGAUUGUUUCAUAGCUUUUCCUCAUAUCUAGCGUGUUAGAGUUCCCUAAGGACCUCAAGCGAAUCCGAGCAGUGUUCACACCCAAAUUCGAUAGCCAAGACAGAGUAAGUGGAGUGUGGAAAUGCCAGCUUUUAUGUGUCCAAGUUCAUAGGGAGCUCAAGGGUCCCAAGGCAAGGCUCACACAAAAAGGGCAAAACCUAGUGUUGUGCAGGACACAUAUUUGAGAAGAGUUUGUUUUAAAACUGGACUGACAGGUCCAUUUUAAAAGCAUUCAGUGACAGAAAUGAUUGAAAGCAGUUGUAUUAGUGUGACAGAGUCCAAACACUUCAGGGUAAGACCACACACAACAAAUGAAUGAAUUGAGUAAUCACAUAUGAGAUAAAAAGGAUUGGGAUACAUAUAUUGACUACAGACACCUGACCUCAGCAGAAUAUUACGACUGGUAGGGACAUGCUGAGAGAUAGUUGAUCACUGGCACAAUCACAAAUCAGUCAUGAAACACAUAGAGGAGGGAUAUAGGACUAGGAUUCACUAAAUGGUAAGUGCACAGCAGGUAAAAGAAUACAAUCAUCCAUGCAUGCUUGAAUCACAUGAAAUCAUACCAUCAUGCUUAGAUAUAAACAUCAGAAAAAAACCUGAAGUAAACUCAAGUCAGAAUGAAAAGAAACUGAAGCGGGAAUAGGAACAUAUUGUUGUUGAAGCUUUAAAUUAAACUAGGACAUACUAGUGAAGAUAGAGGUAAACAAAGUGAAAGAACCAAGGUUUGCAG